AUAUUUAGUGCUGAGAAGGGUAGGGAGGAUUUACCAUUUGAUGAGUCUAGGGUUGGGUAUAGGGCCAUGUUUAAGUCUCCCCCUAUUAUUAGGAGACCUUCUGCGAAUUCUUUGAGUUUUCGCAUGAACUUCUUUAAGCUGGAUGCUUGGCGUUUGUUUGGGAGGUAUAUUGAUCCCAUUUACAUUCAAGGAUAUCACAUUUAAAUUAUGCAUCAUAGAUCUAGGUGUAGAUACCUCGAUCCAUCCGUCUUUUCCGGGGAGCGGUGGGAUUUGGGGUGAUUGUGAGAAGUUCAGCCAUUCCGUCAAGUCUGGUGCCUCGAUGCCACAGGCUCUGCAGAACGGUGUUAUGUCCUCGG